rnacentral:rRNA from 1 species
GUAGGUGGCAAGCGUUGUCCGGAAUUAUUGGGCGUAAAGCGCGCGCAGGGCGGUCCUUUAAGUCUGAUGUGAAAGCCCACGGCUCAACCGUGGAGGGUCAUUGGAAACUGGGGGACUUGAGUACAGAAGAGGAAAGCGGAAUUCCAAGUGUAGCGGUGAAAUGCGUAGAGAUUUGGAGGAACACCAGUGGCGAGGCGGCUUUCUGGUCUGUAACUGACGCUGAGGCGCGAAAGCGUGGGGAGCAAACAGGAUUAGAUACCCUGGUAGUCCACGCCGUAAACGAUGAGUGCUAAGUGUUAGGGGGUUUCCGCCCCUUAGUGCUGCAGCUAACGCAUUAAGCACUCCGCCUGGGGAGUACGGCCGCAAGGCUG